CGAUUGCAACGGCUUCAUGACGUGAUCGCUUAAUCUUUUUGGAGCA
rnacentral:ncRNA from 1 species